AUUCUAAAAGAGGAAUUAUUUUGUUAAAAAUCAAAGAGAAAGGAGGAAAAUGUUAAGUUAAAGAUAAAAGGUUAUGUUUAAAUGGUUUGGCUAUUAAUGUGGCCUAUGUCUAUGCUUGAUUUAAUAGGCUUUAUGAGGAGGAGUCAAGGACGAUCAUUGUCCCUUGAAGAGAGAAAAUUAAUCAAGUGAUAAAAGGGAAUGGCUAUUCUAUGGAUCAAGGCAGGGAAUUGGUGUUGGGAUAGAAGAGCAUUAUGGAACUAAAAUCACUGUUAUGUUAUGUAAUGUGUUAAUAAUAAAUUUCAUGCUAAGUUGUAAUGAAUUAUGAAUAAUGAUAUGAUGUAAAUUGUGUUGUUAUGACAUGUCCUAAUGUUGAAAUA